UUAUUUGAGAGUUUGAUCCUGGCUCAGGAUGAACGCUGGCGGCGUGCCUAACACAUGCAAGUCGAACGAAGCACCUUUUGAGAUUCUUCGGAUGAUCAUUUGGUGACUGAGUGGCGGACGGGUGAGUAACGCGUGGGUAACCUGCCCUGUACAGGGGGAUAACAGCCAGAAAUGGCUGCUAAUACCGCAUAAGCGCACAUGAGGACAUCCUCAAGUGUGAAAAACUCCGGUGGUACAGGAUGGGCCCGCGUCUGAUUAGCUGGUUGGCGGGGUAACGGCCCACCAAGGCGACGAUCAGUAGCCGGUCUGAGAGGAUGAACGGCCACAUUGGAACUGAGACA
rnacentral:ncRNA from 1 species